CUUCAGCUGUGGGGUUACAGAAGGCAAGACUCAGGGAUGGUCUUCACCAUGGCCUGGUCCCCUCUCCUGCUCACACUCCUGUCCCACUGCACAGGAUCCUGGGCCCAGUCUGUGCUGACUCAGCUGCCUUCCCUGUCUGGGAACCUAGGACAAAGAGUCACCAUCUCCUGCACUGGAAGCAGCUCCAACAUCGGGGGUAAUUAUGUGUACUGGUACCAACAGCUUCCAGGAAAACCCCCUAAAACUGUCAUCUAUGGUACUAACAGGCGACCCUCAGGGGUCCCUGAUCGAUUCUCUGGCUCCAAGUCUGGGACCUCGGGCUCCCUGACCAUCACUGGGCUCCAGGCUGAAGACGAGGCCAAUUAUUACUGUGCAGCAUGGGACGAUAGUCUCAAUGGUCCCACAGUGCUGCAGGCCUGUGGGGAAGUGAGACAAGAACUCCUGUGGCAUCUGUGAGCUGGGUGAACACUGUAGCCCCUUCUGCUCAGCCUCAGCCUGUGCCCUGUGACUUCUGCUCAUUGCCUGGCUGUUGUCCUGGUCCCAGGUUCCCCCAGGAACACUGUCUGGCAUUGAAGGAUGCUUCUCUCCCCUUCUGUCCUCAGUCACUCACAGCAGCCCUGUCCCACACUAAGGGUCCUAAAUGAAAAGGAAAGUCCAUUUUCUCACAAGACGAAGACAGUUUACUUUCAGACUGUUUUAUGUUCAUUUUUCCUUGUAAUGGUAACAAAAACACAAUGUUGUGCAGAGUCUGUGAAAGUAUUAUAGGCCCUCAGCAUUGUGCUUCCUGAGCGUGAAGGACAAAUCAGCUGUUUGCAUCUCAUUAUAAUGUCCUUUAGUGUAAUCAGUGCUGACUGCUUUGUUUUGUCUUCUGAUAUUUAGUGCAAAGAUGGCCAUUUCGAGGUGUAAAAUUAUACCAGAUUGGUGGUUUCCAGAGGUGGGUGAUGAAGGGGGUGGCCAAUGUGGGUCAAGGGAGUGAAAGGGGACCAACUUCUGGGUUUGAAAUGAAUGGAUUUGGGGAAGUCAUGAACAGCAUGGGGAUGAGGACAGAGAUGUUCUGAUCGUGAGGCUGUGAAUGCAGCUAAAUGAGCAGACCUUGAACAUUUGCAGCAGAAGAAAUGAUACAAAUUGUUACCAUGUGUAGUGAUGGAAAUCAACUAGGCUUAUUCUGGUGAUGAUUCUGCAAUAUAUAUCAGCACAGAAUGAUGAUCUCUUACACCUAAAAUGAAUAAAAUGUUGAAUAUCAAUUCACAGCAAUUAAAAUAACAUAAUUACUAAAUGUAAUUAUAAAAAUAAAUAUAAAUUUCUGUCCACAGAAAUACCUGCAUGUGAAA